rnacentral:rRNA from 1 species
GAUGAACGCUGGCGGCGUGCCUAAUACAUGCAAGUCGAGCGAACAGACGAGGAGCUUGCUCCUCUGACGUUAGCGGCGGACGGGUGAGUAACACGUGGAUAACCUACCUAUAAGACUGGGAUAACUUCGGGAAACCGGAGCUAAUACCGGAUAAUAUAUUGAACCGCAUGGUUCAAUAGUGAAAGACGGUUUUGCUGUCACUUAUAGAUGGAUCCGCGCCGCAUUAGCUAGUUGGUAAGGUAACGGCUUACCAAGGCAACGAUGCGUAGCCGACCUGAGAGGGUGAUCGGCCACACUGGAACUGAGACACGGUCCAGACUCCUACGGGAGGCAGCAGUAGGGAAUCUUCCGCAAUGGGCGAAAGCUUGACGGAGCAACGCCGCGUGAGUGAUGAAGGUCUUCGGAUCGUAAAACUCUGUUAUUAGGGAAGAACAAAUGUGUCAGUAACUAUGCACGUCUUGACGGUACCUAAUCAGAAAGCCACGGCUAACUACGUG